AUUGAACGCUGGCGGCAGGCCUAACACAUGCAAGUCGAGCGAGCGGCGGACGGGUGAGUAAUGUCUGGGAAACUGCCUGAUGGAGGGGGAUAACUACUGGAAACGGUAGCUAAUACAGCAUACCAUCCGGUGUGCGCAGGUGGGAGUAGCUGGUAGGUGGGGUAACGGCUCACCUAGGCGACGAUCCCUCGCUGGUCUGAGAGGAUGACCAGCCCCACUGGGACUGAGACACGGUCCAGACUCCUACGGGAGGCAGCAGUGGGGAAUCUUGGACAAUGGGCGAAAGCCUGAUGCAGCCAUGCCGCGGGUGUGAAGAAGGCCUUCGGAUUGUAAAGCACUGUCAGCGGAGAGGCGGUACCCGCAGAAGAAGCACCGGCUAACUCCGUGCCAGCAGCCGCGGUAAUAC
rnacentral:rRNA from 1 species